CGCGAAGUAGAGCAGCGGUAGCUCGUCGGGCUCAUAACCCGAAGGUCGCUGGUUCGAUCCCAGCCUUCGCAACAA
rnacentral:tRNA from 3 species